rnacentral:sRNA from 1 species
UCACCCUGCCCCCACACCACCCUCAGCCUUUCUGUUUCCAGCACUUCCUGGUCAUGACCCUGAGCCCCUCCUGCCUGUCCACCAGGGUCUCUGGGCCCGGGGGUGGUCACUGGGAAGGGCACCCACACCCUGUCCUUCCAGGUCUUCUGCCUCUGAGUGAGUGGUCUGAGUGGUCGCCCUGUGGGCCCUGCCUGCCGCCCAGCGCCCUGGCCCCUGCCUCCAGGACUGCCCUAGAGGAGCGCUGGCUCCGAGACCCAACUGGCCUCUCCCCCACCUCGGCCCCACUGCUGGCUUCAGAGCAGCACCGCCACCGGCUCUGUCUGGAUCCUGUGACAAGGAGGCCCUGGACUGGAGCGCCUCACCUCUGCACCGCACCCCUCAGCCAGCAGCGCCUCUGCCCUGACCCUGGAGCCUGCCCUGGUAAUGGGGAGAGGCAGAGGCCACGGGACAGGAUGGGCCUGGAGUGCAGGUUGGGGGGACCUGGCCGGGAGGGGCUAGGCUAUAGAGCGCAUUGACCUGCUACCCCUCCUGCUUGUCUCUAAGGCCUGCAGGAUUUGAAGCUGGGGGUAGGGUCCAGGCAACAGCUAGAAAGAGAAGCGGGAGAGCCUAGAGGGCUUUAAGGCCUGCCGGAGCAUUUGCGACGACAGAGCUCAAGGCUUGAGGGGGAGGCAAGAGGCGGGCCUGGGUACUGACUCCAUCGUACCUUCCCCAGACUCAUGCCAGUGGAGUCUGUGGGGGCCAUGGAGCCCCUGCCAGGUGCCCUGCAGUGGGGGGUUCAGGCUACGCUGGAGAGAGGCAGAGGCCCUCCGUGGAGGAGGCUGCCAGGGGCCAUGGGCUCAGACAGAAAGCUGCAACAGAGGGCCCUGCCCAGGUGAGAGCUGCGAGGCCCAAGACACUGUAUUCACCCUGGACUGUGCCAACCAGUGCCCACGCAGCUGUGCCGACCUCUGGGACCGCGUUCAGUGCCUGCAGGGACCCUGCCGCCCAGGCUGCCGCUGUCCCCCUGGCCAGCUGGUCCAGGAUGGGCGCUGUGUGCCGAUCUCCUCUUGCCGCUGUGGCCUCCCCAGUGCCAAUGCCUCUUGGGAGCUGGCCCCGGCCCAGGCAGUGCAGCUGGACUGCCAAAACUGCACCUGUGUCAACGGGUCCCUGGUGUGCCCACACCAGGAGUGUCCAGUCCUUGGGCCUUGGUCAGCCUGGAGCAGUUGCUCGGCCCCCUGUGGUGGGGGCCCUAUGGAGCGACAUCGGACCUGCGAGGGGGGUCCUGGGGUGGCACCAUGCCAGGCCCAGGACACAGAGCAACGGCAGGAGUGUAACCUGCAGCCCUGCCCUGAGUGCCCCCCUGGCCAGGUGCUUAGCACCUGUGCCACCUCAUGCCCGCGCCUCUGCUGGCAUCUGCAGCCUGGUGCCAUCUGUGUGCAGGAGCCCUGCCAGCCUGGCUGUGGCUGCUCUGGAGGGCAGGUGGGUACGGGGUGCUGUGUCCUGACUCCCUGUGGGGGAAGCCGGCAGGUGGGGAGGGAAGAGGCGGUGGUCUGAGUGUCACUGAGCCUGCCCUGCUGCAGCUGCUGCACAAUGGCACGUGUGUGCCUCCCACUGCCUGCCCCUGCACCCAGCAUUCUCUGCCCUGGGGCCUCACCCUGACCCUGGAAGAGCAGGCCCAGGAGCUACCCCCAGGGACUGUGCUCACCCGGAACUGCACCCGCUGGUGAGGGCCUGGCCCUGGGGUGGGGAGCAGGGAUGAGGAAGGGUAGGGAGGAGGACAUGGGAGGCAUCUGAGUGUGCUUCUGUCUUCCCAGUGUCUGCCACGGUGGAGCCUUCAGCUACUCCCUCAUUGACUGUCAGGGUGAGAUGUGGCUGUCCAUGCCCUGCUGCACCUCCAAAGUCAAGGCCUGGGACUGGCACUGAGGAGGAGAGACGGGCCCUGCUCACAGACUAGACAGAGCUUCAGGAAGCCCUCCCCUGUCUGUCCACACUGACCUCUCUCUAACUGGAGACCCAGCACCCCCUGCCGAGGGCUCCCUGGGCACUCAGUGUGGUCUGCCCCACUUGUGGGGGCAUUCCCUAGCACACAGUAUACACAGAGCCAGGGCUGUGAUGCCAGGAAGUGGAAGGUUCUUUCCCUGCCAGUGAGGAAACUGAGGUCUGGAGGGGUGAGCGGAAAUGAGGGGCCUGGCCUGGCAGCCCCCGGGCUGGUAGCAUUUGCCCUGUGGGGUGCAGUGUUACCCCCAUGUGAUCAGGACCAAGGGCCCACCCACCGUGUUCCCAGCUCUGCCACGCUGGGCUCUGUGAAUGCAGACAUGCAGCAUGGCCAGCCUCCGGGCAGACCACCCCCCCAGAACAGGCAGAGACAGGGCACAGUCUCUAGGUCUCUGACAGGCAGGUAGAACCCCAGAGGGUGAGACAUCAGUGCUGAGAAUAGAGAGGCCGAGUGGACAGGAUUGGUCAGGGAGGCUUUUCUGAAGGAGGUGAGACCUGGCCUGGGUCCAGCUAGUGUUUGGGUGGGUGGAUAAGAAAGAUCAGGAGGUGUGGUUGGAGGCUGCUGCGGCUGAGAAGGCAAGACGGGGACAUGUGGGUGCUCAGCUUGGGAGGGGAGGAAUCGAGGCUGGAUCCAGGGCUGACCUGAAAGCUGGGUUGGAUGGUCUUCCCUGGCAGAGUGCCCCCCUGGGGAAAUGUGGCAGCAGGUGGCCCCGGGGAGCUGGGGCUCUGCGAGCAGACGUGCCUGGAGAUGAAUGCCACAGAGACCCAGAGUAACUGCAGUUCAGCUCGAGCCUCGGGCUGCGUGUGCCAGCCCGGGCACUUCCGCAGCCAGGCAGGCCCCUGCGUCCCCGAAGACCACUGCGAGUGCUGGCACCUCGGGCAUCCCCACCUGCCUGGAUCUGAAUGGCAGGAGGCCUGUGAGAGCUGCCUCUGCCUCAGUGGGAGGCCUGUCUGCACCCAGCACUGCUCCCCACUCACCUGUGCUCAGGGCGAGGAGAUGGUGCUGGAGCCAGGGAGCUGCUGUCCCUCUUGCCGCAGGGAGGCUCCGGAGGAGCAGUCGCCCUCCUGCCAGCUCCUCACGGAGCUUCGAAACUUCACCAAAGGGACCUGUUACCUGGACCAGGUAGAAGUGAGCUACUGCAGUGGGUACUGCCCAUCCAGCACCCAUGUCAUGCCAGAGGAGCCAUACCUGCAGAGCCAGUGUGACUGCUGCAGCUACCGUCUAGACCCGGAGAGCCCUGUGCGGAUCCUGAACCUGCGCUGUCUGGGUGGCCACACAGAGCCCGUGGUGCUGCCGGUCAUCCACAGCUGCCAGUGCAGCUCCUGCCAGGGAGGUGACUUCUCAAAGCGCUAACAGGCUCCGCUGGGUGAGUCCACAGCUGUCCCUCUUGUGAUCAUGGGACUCAGCAGCACUGACCACGUCCUUCCACGCUCUCUCACCUGCCCCCAACUGGGGGCCCAUGACUUGGCAUUAGCAUGUUCCAAAUAAAGUGAUACUGGCAAC